AAAAUCCUGGAUUUAUAUUGGUCAGUGAUAUAAGAACAAGCAAUUAAAGUAAUUGUGUGCUUUCGUAAUAUUACUAACCUGCAACUAAGCAAAUGUAACAGUCUGGUGAUUCAAUGAAUUGUAGCGCUUACUCGGUGGGAACCUUUGUUACAGGGAGAUGGGGUCUGGUAGGAAAAUGUUGGAGAGCGGGAUUCUGGGAAGAGCUGAGUUCGUGGUACCAGAUGUGUGAUUUUCAAUAAAGUGUGUUCAUUUAGAAGUAAUACACAGUCUACCGAGCAGAACCCCAUUUGAUACUGUGGACAGUUUAAAGAUGGAAUCAGUCCCGAUUAAAGAGGAGCUCCCUAAACUUGAACUGGUCCCCAUUAGACUGGAGUUCUCUGGACUGUCUUCCCUCCCCAUUAAACAGAAGCUCUGUGAGAUGCCAUCUGACAGCAUCAAGUCGGAGGUGUCUGGGAUUAAAGCUGAGCGCAAUGAAUUGGAGAUCUCCCAGACAGAAGAACCCCUUCCUGUGAAUGAAGAGGUGCUGGAAAUGUUACCAAGCAGAACCACGUUUGAUGCCUUGGACAAUGUGA